rnacentral:tRNA from 1 species
CAAAAUAUAGUUUAUAAAAAUAUUAAUUUUGGAGAUUAAAGAUAUAAAUUAUUUAUUAUUUUGA